CCUACGGGUGGCAGCAGUGAGGAAUAUUGGUCAAUGGACGAGAGUCUGAACCAGCCAAGUAGCGUGAAGGAUGACUGCCCUAUGGGUUGUAAACUUCUUUUAUAUGGGAAUAAAAUGUUCCACGUGUGGGAUUUUGUAUGUACCAUAUGAAUAAGGAUCGGCUAACUCCGUGCCAGCAGCCGCGGUAAUACGGAGGAUCCGAGCGUUAUCCGGAUUUAUUGGGUUUAAAGGGAGCGUAGGUGGAUUGUUAAGUCAGUUGUGAAAGUUUGCGGCUCAACCGUAAAAUUGCAGUUGAAACUGGCAGUCUUGAGUACAGUAGAGGUGGGCGGAAUUCGUGGUGUAGCGGUGAAAUGCUUAGAUAUCACGAAGAACUCCGAUUGCGAAGGCAGUUCACUGGACUGCAACUGACACUGAGGCACGAAAGUGUGGGUAUCAAACAGGAUUAGAUACCCGUGUAGUC
rnacentral:rRNA from 1 species